CACGUAGGGGGCGAGCGUUGUCCGGAUUUAUUGGGCGUAAAGAGCUCGUAGGCGGCUCGGUAAGUGAGGUGUGAAAACUCCAGGCUCAACCUGGAGACGCCACCUCAUACUGCCGUGGCUAGAGUCCGGUAGGGGAGCAUGGAAUUCCUGGUGUAGCGGUGAAAUGCGCAGAUAUCAAGUGGAACACCAGUGGCGAAGGCGAGUCUCUGGACAUUUCCUGACGCUGAGGCACGAAAGCCAGGGGAGCAAACGGG
rnacentral:rRNA from 1 species